GACGAACGCUGGCGGCGUGCUUAACACAUGCAGGUCGAACGGUGAAGCGCCUUCCUUUUUGGUGGGUGUGGAUGAGUGGCGAACGGGUGAGUAACACGUGAGUAACCUGCCCCCUUCUUCUGGAUAACCGCAUGAAAGUGUGGCUAAUACGGGAUAUUCUGGGUCUGUCGCAUGAUGGGUCUGGGAAAGAUAUUGUUUCGGUGGGGGAUGGGCUCGCGGCCUAUCAGCUUGUUGGUGGGGUGAUGGCCUACCAAGGCGGUGACGGGUAGCCGGCCUGAGAGGGUGGACGGUCACACUGGGACUGAGACACGGCCCAGACUCCGACGGGAGGCAGCAGGGGGGAAUAUUGCACAAUGGGCGCAAGCCUGAUGCAGCGACGCCGCGUGAGGGAUGGAGGCCUUCGGGUUGUGAACCUCUUUCGCCAGUGAAGCAGGCCUGCCUCGUUUGUGGGUGGGUUGACGGUAGCUGGAGAAGAAGCGCCGGCUAACUACGUG
rnacentral:rRNA from 1 species